rnacentral:rRNA from 1 species
CCUACGGGUGGCAGCAGUGGGGAAUAUUGCACAAUGGGGGAAACCCUGAUGCAGCGACGCCGCGUGAGUGAAGAAGUAAUUCGUUAUGUAAAGCUCUAUCAGCAGGGAAGAAAAUGACGGUACCUGAGUAAUUAGCCCCGGCUAACUACGUGCCAGCAGCCGCGGUAAUACGUAGGGGGCAAGCGUUAUCCGGAUUUGCUGGGUGGAAAGGGAGCGUAGACGGCAGUGCAAGGCUGGAGUGAAAGGCGGGGGCUCAACCCCAGGACUGCUCUGGAAACUGUACGGCUGGAGUGCAGGAGAGGUAAGUGGAAUUCCUAGUGUAGCGGUGAAAUGCGUAGAUAUUAGGAGGAACACCAGUGGCGAAGGCGGCUUACUGGACUGUAACUGACGUUGAGGCUCGAAAGCGUGGGGAGCAAACAGGAUUAGAUACCCUAGUAGUC